GACGAACGCUGGCGGCGUGCUUAACACAUGCAAGUCGAACGGAAAGGCCCUGCUUGCAGGGUGCUCGAGUGGCGAACGGGUGAGUAACACGUGGGUGAUCUGCCCCUUACUUUGGGAUAAGCCUGGGAAACUGGGUCUAGUACUGGAUAGGACCAUGCUGUAGGUGGUGUGGUGGAAAGAUUAGUUUCGGUAAGGGAUGAGCUCGCGGCCUAUCAGCUUGUUGGUGGGGUAAUGGCCUACCAAGGCGUCGACGGGUAGCCGGCCUGAGAGGGUGGACGGCCACAUUGGGACUGAGAUACGGCCCAGACUCCUACGGGAGGCAGCAGUGGGGAAUAUUGCACAAUGGGCGCAAGCCGGAUGCAGCGACGCCGCGUGGGGGAUGACGGCCUUCGGGUUGUAAACUCCUUUCAGCCAUGACGAAGCCCUUGUGGUGACGGUAGUGGUAGAAGAAGCACCGGCUAACUACGUG
rnacentral:rRNA from 1 species